rnacentral:rRNA from 1 species
UGGGGAAUAUUGGACAAUGGGCGAAAGCCUGAUCCAGCCAUGCCGCGUGUGUGAAGAAGGUCUUCGGAUUGUAAAGCGCUUUAAGUUGGGAGGAAGGGCAGUAAGCGAAUACCUUGCUGUUUUGACGUUACCGACAGAAUAAGCACCGGCUAACUCUGUGCCAGCAGCCGCGGUAAUACAGAGGGUGCAAGCGUUAAUCGGAAUUACUGGGCGUAAAGCGCGCGUAGGUGGUUCGUUAAGUUGAAUGUGAAAGCCCCGGGCUCAACCUGGGAACUGCAUCCAAAACUGGCGAGCUAGAGUAGGGCAGAGGGUGGUGGAAUUUCCUGUGUAGCGGUGAAAUGCGUAGAUAUAGGAAGGAACACCAGUGGCGAAGGCGACCACCUGGGCUCAUACUGACACUGAGGUGCGAAAGCGUGGGGAGCAAACAGG